CGGGGGAUCCAAGCGUUAUCCGGAAUUACUGGGCGUAAAGAGUUGCGUAGGCGGCAUAGUAAGCGAGUAGUGAAAUGACGAGGCUCAACCUCGUGUCCAUUACUUGAACUACUAAGCUAGAGCAUGAGAGAGGUAGCUGGAAUUCCCUGUGUAGGAGUGAAAUCCGUAGAUAUAGGGAGGAACACCGAUGGCGUAGGCAGGCUACUGGCUCAUUGCUGACGCUCAGGCACGAAAGCGUGGGGAGCGACCGGGAUUAGAUACCCCGUUAGUCCACGCCGUAAACGAUGGAUGCUAGCUGUAAGACGUAUCGACCCGUCUUGUAGCGAAGCUAACGCGUUAAGCAUCCCGCCUGUGGAGUACGAGCGCAAGCUUA
rnacentral:rRNA from 1 species